rnacentral:rRNA from 1 species
GAUGAAUGCUGGCGGCGUGCCUAAUACAUGCAAGUCGUACGGAAAGGCCCUUCGGGGUACUCGAGUGGCGGACGGCUGAGUAACGCGUGGGAACGUGCCCCAAAGUGAGGGAUAACGCACCGAAAGGUGUGCUAAUACCGCAUAUGGUCUUCGGAUUAAAGCUUCGGCGCUUUGGGAGCGGCCCGCGUACGAUUAGAUAGGUGGUAGGGGAAUGGCCUACCAAGUCGACGAUCGUUAGCGGGUCUGAGAGGAUGAUCAGCCAGACUGGAACUGAGACACGGUCCAGACUCCUACGGGAGGCAGCAGUAAGGAAUCUUCCACAAUGGGGGCAACCCUGAUGGAGCAACGCCGCGUGCAGGAUGAAGGCCCUCGGGUCGUAAACUGCUUUUAUGAGUGAAGAAUAUGACGGUAACUCAUGAAUAAGCACCGGCUAACUACGUGCCAGCCGCCGCAGUAA